GGGCGGGAGAGGGCGGAGCGCCUCGACUGGCUUUUAAGUAGAGGGGUGUGUUGGGGGAAGGAUCCGGGCUCCCAGGCCCUCCUCCCUAGGGCUGGGGAGCCCAGGUCCCAGCCCCUCCUUCUCCCAGCCUGCAGAAGUCCGGGUCCCAGCCCAGCUGGGUUUCCCAAGCCUCCUGCUCCAGUUUCCCCAGACAUCAGCCCUGGAGAGGGGUGUGACCAAGGCGCUAAUGCCAGGGCUCGGCUUUCUAAUGAGGCCCAUCCACCUCGUUAACAUCCCGCGUGGCUGGAGAAGUCUUCAAGAGGUUUCCAAAUACCUGCAGAGCCCAUGGUCCACGCAUAACUGGAGACACUCCCACCGUCACUGCAAGCGCACAGACCCACACCCAUGCCUGGCUGCCGGCCUGUCUUCAUCGGAGGAGGAGGAAAGGACAGAGUCAGGAGGAAGAGUGUCUGUCUAGUGGAGUCAGAGCUGUCCCCAGCAAAGGUCCCAGUAUGGGAACUCAAGCUCCGAAACAGUGAUCUAGAAUCAAAGAAAGCAGGUUGGUGGUUGCCUGGGCUGUAGGGCAGAGGGGUGGCCUUUCUGGGGUGAGGAAAAAGCUUUAUCUUAAUUGUGGUGGUAGUUAUAUGGGAGCAUACACCUGCCAAAAUUCACCAAACUGUAUCUUUAGAAUGGGUGUGUGUGUGGGGGGUGACUUCCCUGGUGGUCCAAUGGUUAGGAAUCCGCUUGCCAGUGCAGGGGACAUGGGUUACAUCCCUGGUCUGUGGUCUGAGAAGAUCCCACAUGUCUGGGAGCAACUAAGCCUAAGCACCGCAAAUACUGAUCUGUGCUCUAGAGAUCCUGCUCCGCAACAAGAGAAGCCACUGCAAUGAAAAGCCUGAGCACAG